AGGCCCUCCCCCGAGGUCCUGUUUAGUAUAAAUAUGGGCAAUAAGAGGCAAAAACUGCUCGCUGCAGCCCAAGAAGAUCUAUCUGCUGGUGUUCUGGAAAUCUUGAAAGAUGACAGCUUAGGCACCAGCAAGCAGCUCAAGGCAGCUCGCAACAUUCUCUUCCACUCGUCAUGUCCCGUGUCCGUGUGUCGCGUGGUUGUGGACUGGCUGGUGGCACAAUGCGCGUCCAACCCGCUGGCUGCCGCGACGAUCGCCGAGAUCCUGCCGGCGCCGGGGCUACAGCUGCUGCUGGAGGAGGA